UACGGGGGGUGCAAGCGUUACUCGGAAUCACUGGGCGUAAAGGACGCGUAGGCGGAUUAUCAAGUCUUGUGUGAAAUCUAGUGGCUUAACCACUAAACUGCAUAGGAAACUGAUAGUCUAGAGUAGGGGAGAGGUAGAUGGAAUUCUUGGUGUAGGGGUAAAAUCCGUAGAGAUCAAGAGGAAUACUUAUUGCGAAGGCGAUCUACUAGAACCUAACUGACGCUGAGGCGUGAAAGCGUGGGUAGCAAACAGGAUUAGAUACCCCGGUAGUCCCUGAG
rnacentral:rRNA from 1 species